rnacentral:rRNA from 1 species
GAAUUCACUAGUGAUUCAGGCCUAACACAUGCAAGUCGAGCGAACCCUUCGGGGUGAGCGGCGGACGGGUGAGUAACGCGUGGGUAACCUGCCCUGUACACACGGAUAACAUACCGAAAGGUAUGCUAAUACGAGAUAAAAUGUAAUGAUCGCAUGGUCGAUACAUCAAAGCUCCGGCGGUACAGGAUGGACCCGCGUCUGAUUAGCUAGUUGGUGAGGUAAUGGCUCACCAAGGCGACGAUCAGUAGCCGACCUGAGAGGGUGAUCGGCCACAUUGGAACUGAGGCACGGUCCAAACUCCUACGGGAGGCAGCAGUGGGGAAUAUUGCACAAGGGGCGAAAGCCUGAUGCAGCAACGCCGCGUGAGUGAAAGAGGCCUUCGGGUCGUAAAGCUCUGUCCUCAAGGAAGAUAAUGAC